CCUACGGGAGGCAGCAGUAGGGAAUCUUCCACAAUGGGCGAAAGCCUGAUGGAGCAACGCCGCGUGAGUGAAGAAGGUUUUCGGAUCGUAAAACUCUGUUGUAAGGGAAGAACAAGUACAGUAGUAACUGGCUUUGUACCUUAGGACGGUACGGCUUAUGUAGAAAGCCACGGCUAACUACGUGCCAGCAGCCGCGGUAAUACGUAGGUGCCAAGCGUUGUCCGGAAUUAUUGGGCGUAAAGCGCGCGCAGGCGGUCCUUUAAGUCUGAUGUGAAAGCCCACGGCUCCAACCGUGGAGGGUCAUUGGAAACUGGGGGACUUUGAGUGCAGAAGAGGAAAGUGGAAUUUCCAAGUGUAGCGGGUGAAAUGCGUAGAGAUUUGGAGGGAACACCAGUGGCGAAGGCGACUUUCUGGGUCUGUAACUGACGCUGAGGCGCGAAAGCGGUGGGGAGCAAAACAGGAUUAGAUAACCCUGGGUAGUCCACGCCGUAAACGAUGGAGUGCCUAAAGUGUUAGGGGGGGUUUCCGCGCCCCUUAGUGCUGCAGCUAACGCAUUAAGCACUCCGCCUGGGGAGUACGGUCGCAAGACUGAAACUCAAAGGAAUUGACGGGGGCCCGCACAAGCGGUGGAGCAUGUGGUUUAAUUCGAAGCAACGCGAAGAACCUUAC
rnacentral:rRNA from 1 species